rnacentral:rRNA from 1 species
UUGACGGGGGCCCGGCACAAGCGGUGGAGCAUGUGGUUAAUUCGAUGCAACGCGAAGAACCUUACCUGGGUUUGACAUAUAGGUUGUAGGGAACUGAAAAGGGACCGACCCUUCGGGGAGCCUAUACAGGUGUUGCAUGGCUGUCGUCAGCUCGUGUCGUGAGAUGUUCGGUUAAGUCCGCUAACGAGCGCAACCCUCGUCGUAUGUUAUAUGUGUCAUACGAGACUGCCGGUAAAAGCCGGAGGAAGGUGAGGAUGAUGUCAAGUCAGCAUGACCUUUAUAUCCAGGGCUACACACACGCUACAAUGGUCUGUACAAUGGGUAGCCAAGCCGCGAGGCGGAGCCAAUCCUGAAAGCAGGCCUCAGUUCAGAUUGCAGUCUGCAACUCGACUGCAUGAAGCCGGAGUUGCUAGUAACCGCAGGUCAGCAAUACUGCGGUGAAUACGUUCCCGGGUCUU